AUACGGAGGGUGCAAGCGUUGUCCGGAUUUAUUGGGUUUAAAGGGUGCGUAGGUGGUUUUUUAAGUCAGUGGUGAAAGCCUACAGCUUAACUGUAGAGGUGCCAUUGAUACUGGGGAACUUGAGUAUGGACGAGGUAGGCGGAAUUUGUGGUGUAGCGGUGAAAUGCAUAGAUACCACAAGGAACACCGAUAGCGAAGGCAGCUUACUGGGGCAUAACUGACACUGAGGCACGAAAGCGUGGGGAGCGAACAGGAUUAGAUACCCUAGUAGUCC
rnacentral:rRNA from 1 species